UAAUACGAACUGUGCGAACGUUAUUCGGAAUCACUGGGCUUAAAGGGUGCGUAGGCGGCUGCCUAAGUCAGGUGUGAAAUCUCUCGGCUCAACCGGGAAACUGCGCUUGAUACUGGGCGGCUUGAGUGAGGUAGGGGUGUGUGGAACUUCCGGUGGAGCGGUGAAAUGUGUAGAUAUCGGAAGGAACGCCAGCAGCGAAAGCGGCA
rnacentral:rRNA from 1 species